CUGGGAACCCAUAACUGUGGAAGCCUAUUGUUACAGUACAGACAGGGGACACCAAGAUGGACAAAGAAUGUUCUUUAUUGAAUAACAGCCAGAUAUAGUGGGUAUGGAGAGAGGGAAGUCUGUAGGAGGGAGAUUGCUGAAGACAGGAGAAACGCUGGAGACAGGAGACCGGGUGAUCGCCGGAGGCACGGAGACUGGGUGAUUGCUGGAGGCAGGGUGAAUAGGCGUAAUGCCGAGUAGUGUGGAGAGUGCUAGUCAUGAACAAAGUCGGACACAUACUGAGCCCUGAAAACCUCCUCCUCGGCGGUCCGAAGCUCCUGUGUUAACAGUGUAAACAACAUCACUCGGUGCUCUGCGCUCCCAGUCCGGGCAGAGUCAGCUAAUAGGACCGCUAACUAGCAGCCGGAGAACAUCAGAGGGAAAACCAGUAAAUAUUAUCUCUGUGAUGUUGCAAAUGGAGCUGCUGUGAUUAAUCCAGUAGUCAGUGAGCCUGGCCGCCUUCUCGUCUUUCUGCCACAGGCGGACUGCGUACAUGAGCGAAGCAGCAGAUUUUCAAGCAAGUGACUCCCUAACUGAAGACCCGGCUUGAUGAGAGAAC